UUCCUGCAUAAGAGGUCAUUAUUGCAGAGUUGGAGACUGACACUGUGUUUAUCAGUACAUGCUAUUGGAAUUCCCAACAAACUUGACAGGAUGGAUCAGUCACACGUUGGUUACAUCAAGUCUUCUAAAGUCCUAGAGGGAUAAAGACACAUAUAAUUACAAUGGAGGUGACAGGCCUGAAAAUAUCUAUUUUUUUAAUCUUGAAGGCAGUACGAGAGGCCCUAAUGACAUAUAUACAGUACUAACAAGAAUAUGGGGGCUUUCAUAACUUGAGGUAUUUACCUAGAUCCUUGAGAUGCUAUUCGUAUUGGCCUGAAUGCAGUUGAAUUCUGAAUCAUAAACAAGCUGGGAGAUUUGUCUUCCACAUAGUAGUUUUUAGUGCAUGCUCGGAGAACAAGAUAAGAGGAGAGGCUUGAAUCUUGAGAUGACAAGGGUAGUCACCUGCUGCGACUAAAGGAAGGAGGUCAAUGAAGCAAAAGGCACGAAAAGGAAGGAGCAGCGCCACAGGGACGAUGUUGUCGGCAGCGCUUUGGGAGGAUUCGCUCCAGAGAAGUUACGGUAGUCGGCCAUCGCCCAGGGGAAGCGGGGAGGAUGUCGUUCGAAACGCCUGGGUCUAGAGGAGUGUGUCCAGGUGGUGGCCGAGGAUGGCGACGAGCAAUUGGGUUGAGCAUUUGUCAACGUGAUGGUGUCGUUGCUAAAGGUACCAACACCCUUGUUUUGACCCAAUGUUUCUCGGCUAGCUGUGCAUGGCUGGGACUGUUUCGUGCAUAUAGGGGACGGCUCAUGCCAUCCACUUCCAAAGCAAUAAGGUAGCCAUCCAUGUCACUGUCGCUUGCUGUUAGUUUUUUUUUGGAUUCCAUAGGUGUUUCUUAAUGCAUCAAUCAUUUUCAAUUAGGACGGGAGUCUGAAAAAUGUUGUAAGAUUAUCGCCAUUUUUUUAAACUACAAAAGUCCAAAGAUUAGAAGCAUGAUCUUUUAUUUUUCAUG